rnacentral:tRNA from 1 species
CGAAAAAAAGCAUUAUGUGAUGCGGUUCGCUUACAUUGAACAGAUGGUCUUUAUCGGCUUUUUUUGA